rnacentral:rRNA from 1 species
UACAGGGGGGGCAAGCGUUGUUCGGAAUUACUGGGCGUAAAGGGCUCGUAGGCGGCCAACUAAGUCAGACGUGAAAUCCCUCGGCUUAACCGGGGAACUGCAUCUGAUACUGGAUGGCUUGAGUUCGGGAGAGGGAUGCGGAAUUCCAGGUGUAGCGGUGAAAUGCGUAGAUAUCUGGAGGAACACCGGUGGCGAAGGCGGGUCUCUGGGCCGUAACUGACGCUGAGGAGCGAAAGCAUGGGGAGCGAACAGG